AUUGAACGCUGGCGGCAGGCCUAACACAUGCAAGUCGAGCGAGCGGCGGACGGGUGAGUAAUGUCUGGGAAACUGCCUGCUGGAGGGGGAUAACUACUGGAAACGGUAGCUAAUACCGCAUACCAUCGGAUGUGCCCAGAGGGGAGUAGCUAGUAGGUGGGGUAACGGCUCACCUAGGCGACGAUCCCUAGCUGGUCUGAGAGGAUGACCAGCAACACUGGAAUUGAGAAAGGGUCCAGACUCCUAAGGUAGGCAGCAGUGGGGAAUAUUGCACAAUGGGCGCAAGCCUGAGGCAGCCAUGCCGCGUGUAUGAAGAAGUCCUUCGGGUUGUAAAGUACUUUCAGCGGGGAGGCAUUACCCGCAGAAGAAGCACCGGCUAACUCCGUGCCAGCAGCCGCGGUAAUUC
rnacentral:rRNA from 1 species